UGUUUAAUCACUUGCUUAUACUUCUUGAGCGUCGAAGUAAGCGUCUCUGCAUUGUACAUUGUCUGAUGCGAUGGCUACAUUUACAGAGGCGUCGUAUCGAUGAGAGUGAUGAAGAGGAGGCUGAAAAGGCAAGGCGGAGGCGCACACAACAAAGACAUGGCAUCUCCCGUGGCCGGCAAGAUGACUCUUUUGACGCGACAAUGCUUUUGAACCUCGACAUGAAACCCCGAGGCUCUGCCAAGGAUUCUACUACAGCCUCUUCCUCCACGGAAUCGACAACUGAUAUUUCAGCACGAUCGCCGGGGGCAAGCUCGUGGUCGUGGGGAUCGGUAGACUCGGCAGGAGGAGGAGACUCCGGAGGAGGUGACUGUGGUGGUGGAGGAGACUAGUGGUGGUGUGUGCCACAAUUCUUAGGUAGUUUUUUUUUCCUGAUUGUUGAUUCAUGGGAUUGCAACUAUGUGAACUUGUCUAGUGUUUUGUUAGCACAACAUUUUAUGAGAGAACCGGAUGAUUCCCACACAUUGUUGUGAGGCAUCUUGCUCUUACAUUUCAAAUAGUGAAAUCAAAUGUGUAGUUAUGGCGUGUGUAAACAUGAAAAUUGUGCAUUGCAAUUUCUCUGGAUAGAGAGUGACACCAGUAUGGCAGUUUUA